CUGCGUCCUUCAGCAGUGUCUCUGCCUGUCUCGUGGGGGUCUUCCUCCUGCGCUGUCACCACGUCCGCGCUUGGGAUCCGAGGGGCAGCUGCACAAACAGCAACAGACUCAGGUGAGCAGGGCAAAGUGGCCAGGCAGUCGCCGAAUUACAGAGCCAGUUUGAAGCCUUCCGUUCCUGUCUGCAGAGUUCAGACCCAAACCCAGGACUCCAGGAUCCGGGCCUUAAUUGGGUCUUAACUAGCUAGGCAUGUGCAGCGACCAGGAAUCGAACUGAUGAUGACCUUUUAGUUAUGGAAUGAUGCUCCAACCAAUGGAACCACACCGGCCAGGACAUGACUUCAUUUCUUAAUUGAAGAAAUAAUUACAGAGACAAACACAUUAAUUGUAAUCGGCGAAGCCAUGUAAUAACGUUUAAAGGAAAAAGUAUUAGCCAUCCCCACCUUGUGUCAGGGGUCCCCACCGUUACCUUCCCCCCAUCCUGCUUCCAAUUUUUUGGGCAUACACAAAAAAGGAAUUCCAAAAAUAAAAAUGCUAAGUCAGGCGGUAAUUCUAUGUUUAAUUCUUUGAGGAACCACCAUCCUGUCUUCCCCAGUGGCUGCCCCAUUUCACCCU